CUAACGUGUGCCGUAAUCGGAUGUAACAAUAACAGCAGAAAGCUAAAAAUGUGGAAAAAGAGCGUAUGUGCGCUUCAUAGUCCACAGUUUAAAGAGGAUUGUCCAUGUUGUGUGCCCUACGGUGUACACCGCUUCCCCGGCCGUGCUGAGGAUGAAGACAUUCGCAAGAUGUGGAUUAAAAACGUACACCGAAAGGACUUUGCCCCCAAACAAGUAUUCAAGGGUGUGUGGAGUACACUUCCCUGACGGCAGACCAACGCAGGAACACCCAUAUCCCAUAAUAUGGGAUAUGAAUAUAGUAAAGCACCGUCAUGUGGAAGACCACCCCAAAGAGGAGAUGUCUCCAGCCCCCAACAGAGAGACCAUGUGAUGAGCCUCCUGUGACAGAUUCUGACACCGAAGUAGGGCAUAGCUUGGAGGAUAGUCUGUCUCCACACCAAUGUGAUGUUGGCACUCAGUGGCCAGAGCGUAGUGAUCAUGAUUGUUGUUCGAUGAAGUCAACAAAAGAUGCAAGCACACAAACCGAUCCUACACCAUCACUGUCAGAUCAUGACAUGGAUGAUAAAGUGUCAAAACUUUACACUGGACUAGACAUCAUCAGCUUUUGGCAACUUUUGAACACCAUCAUUGGCUUUCUUCCACAGUCGAAGACGUUCAAAUUACCAGUCCAUGAACAGCUAAGUGCUGGUCCUAAUGAGGCUUCGGCUUGGCUACAGCCUGUGAUAUGUCCGCAAUGUGGAGAGCAACACUUGCCAAUUUCACAAGGGAAAAUCUUAUUUUUUGGCUCCCUCGAGACACUCUGAAUAGAGUAAGACCCUCAAGUUUUCUUGAACACUAUCCCAAUGCAACAUGCAUCAUAGAUUGCACUGAAAUAUUUGUCCAAAGACCGAAGAACUUGGGGAAAAGAGCAAAAACAUACAGCAACUAUAAGCAUCACAACACCUACAAAGUCCUCUAUUGCAUAGCCCCCAAUGGUUUUGUGAUGUAUGUGUCAAAACUGUUUGGUGGCAGAGCUAGUGACACUUUUAUCUUAAACUGUGGAUUUCUGGUGAUCAGAUUUUGACAGACCGGGGAUUCACAAUUGGAGAUGUUCUUCCUCCAGGAGUGACAUUGGCUAUUCCAGCAUUUACACGUGGAUGUACACAACUAUCAGAACAUGAAGUCACAAGAACCCGCCGUCUCGCCAAUGUCCGAAUUCAUGUUGAACGUGCAAUAAGAAGGUUAAAAUGCUUCAAAAUUUUGAGUAAUGUAAUUCCAGGUUGAUUAAAACAUGUUGAUGACAUUUUGA